ACUCCUACGGGAGGCAGCAGUGGGGAAUAUUGGACAAUGGGCGAAAGCCUGAUCCAGCCAUGCCGCGUGUGUGAAGAAGGUCUUCGGAUUGUAAAGCACUUUAAGUUGGGAGGAAGGGCAGUAAGUUAAUACCUUGCUGUUUUGACGUUACCAACAGAAUAAGCACCGGCUAACUUCGUGCCAGCAGCCGCGGUAAUACGAAGGGUGCAAGCGUUAAUCGGAAUUACUGGGCGUAAAGCGCGCGUAGGUGGUUCAGCAAGUUGGAUGUGAAAUCCCCCGGGCUCAACCUGGGAACUGCAUCCAAAACUACUGAGCUAGAGUACGGUAGAGGUGUGGAAUUUCCUGUGUAGCGGUGAAAUGCGUAGAUAUAGGAAGGAACACCAGUGGCGAAGGCGACACCUGGACUGAUACUGACACUGAGGUGCGAAAGCGUGGGAGCAAACAGGAUUAGAUA
rnacentral:rRNA from 1 species